CAGUAGCCGCGGUAAUACGUAUGUCACGAGCGUUAUCCGGAUUUAUUGGGCGUAAAGCGCGUCUAGGUGGUUAUAUAAGUCUGAUGUGAGAAUGCAGGGCUCAACUCUGUAUUGCGUUGGAAACUGUAUAACUAGAGUGCUGGAGAGGUAAGCGGAACUACAAGUGUAGAGGUGAAAUUCGUAGAUAUUUGUAGGAAUGCCGAUGGGGAAGCCAGCUUACUGGACAGAUACUGACGCUGAAGCGCGAAAGCGUGGGUAGCAAACAGGAUUAGAUACCCGCGUAGUCCCUGUCUCUUAUACA
rnacentral:rRNA from 1 species